UGUCCAAGCUAUCGUCACAGGCAAGGGCCCACUUGAGAACCUCGCUGACCACAUCGCUGACCCAGUCAACAACAACGCCUGGGCGUUCGCUACCAACUUUUUCCCCGGCAAGUAAUUAAGAUGUCUUGAAGAUUGUGCACGCCACGAAGCGUGUUGUUGUGUAGUCUGAGUUGUACUACCAUGAUGUAUAUUACGAGAAUUUUGUGCAAAAGCAAUGCAAGAUUGUCCGGCUUGGAUGUUAUCACUUGCAUCAAUCUAAUUGUUGUGGUCACAAUACAUGAAAACAGAUACAUAUUUCGACUCGCGCUUAGUGAACCAUUAUCAUUAUUGUUGGGGAACGCAGUAAUUUCAAAAAAAUUCCUACGCACACGCAAGAUCAUGGUGAUGCAUAGCAACGAGAGGGGAGAGUGUUAUCCACGUACCCUCGUAGACCGAAAGCGGAAGCGUUAGCACAACGUGGUUGAUGUAGUCAUACGUCUUCAUGAUCCGACCGAUCAAGUACCGAACGCACGGCACCUCCGAGUUAUGCACACGUUCAACUCAAUGACGUCCCUCGAACUCUGAUCCAGCUGAGUGUUGAGGGAGAAUUUCGUUAGCACGACGGCGUGGUGAUGAUGAUGAUGUUCUACCGACACAGGGCUUCGCCUAAGCACCGCUACGAUAUGAUCGAGGUGGAUUAUGGUGGAGGGUGGCACCGCACACGGCUAAGAGAUCAAGAGAUCAAUUGUUGUGUCUUUGGGGUGCCCCCUGCCGCCGUAUAUAAAGGAGUAGAGGAGGGGGAGGGCCGGCCCUCUCUAUGGCGCGCCCUAGGGGAGUCCUACUCCCACCGGGAGUAGGAUUCCCCCUUUCCUAGUAGAACUAGGAGCCCUUCCAAGUAGUAGGAGUAGGAGGGAAGGAAAGGGAAGGGAAAAGGAGAAGGAAGGAAACGGGCGCCCCCCCCCCUCCCUAGUCCAAUUCGGACCAGCCCAUGGGGAGGGGUGCGGCCACCCUUUAAGGCCUUUCUCUCCUUUCCCGUAUGGCCCAUUAAGGCCCAAUACGAAUUCCCGUAACUCCCUGGUACUCCCGAAAAUACCUAAAUCACUCGGAACCUUUCCGGUGUCCGAAUAUAGUCGUCCAAUAUAUCGAUCUUUACGUCUCGACCAUUUCGAGACUCCUCGUCAUGUACCCGAUCUCAUCCGAGACUCCGAACUCCUUCGGUACAUCAAAAUACAUAAACUCAUAAUAUAACCGUCAUCGAACUUUAAGCGUGCGGACCCUACGGGUUCGAGAACUAUGUAGACAUGACCGAGACACGUCUCCGGUCAAUAACCAAUAGCGGAACCUGAAUGCUCAUAUUUGCUCCUACAUAUUCUACGAAGAUUUUUAUCGGUUAAACCGCAUAACAACAUAUGUUGUUCCCUUUGUCAUCGGUAUGUUACUUGCCCGAGAUUCGAUCGUCGGUAUCUCAAUACCUUGUUCAAUCUCAUUACUGGCAAGUCUCUUUACUCAUUCCGUAAUACAUUAUCCCACAACUAACUCAUUAGUUGCAAUUCUUGCAAGGCUUAAGUGAUGUGCAUUACCGAGAGGGCCUAGAGAUACCUCUCCGACAAUCGGAGUGACAAAUCCUAAUCUCGAAAUAUGCCAACCCAACAAGUACCUUCGGAGACACCUGUAGAGCACCUUUAUAAUCACCCAGUUACGUUGUGACGUUUGGUAGCACACAAAGUGUUCCUCUGGUAAACGGGAGUUGCAUAAUCUCAUAGUCAUAGGAACAUGUAUAAGUCAUGAAGAAAGCAAUAGCAACAAACUAAACGAUCAAGUGCUAUGCUAAUGGAAUGGGUCAAGUCAAUCACAUCAUUCUCCUAAUGAUGUAAUCCCGUUAAUCAAAUGACAACUCAUGUCUAUGGUUAGGAAACAUAACCAUCUUUGAUCAACGAGCUAGUCAAGUAGAGGCAUACUAGUGACACUCUGUUUGUCUAUGUAUUCACACAUGUAUUAUGUUUCUGGUUAAUACAAUUCUAGCAUGAAUAAUAAACAUUUAUCAUGAUAUAAGGAAAUAAAUAAUAACUUUAUUAUUGCCUCUAGGGCAUAUUUCCUUCAGUCUCCCACUUGCACUAGAGUCAAUAAUCUAGUUCACAUCGCCAUGUGAUUUAAUACCAAUAGUUCACAUCACCAUGUGAUUAACACCCAUAGUUCACAUCGACAUGUGACCAACACCCAAAGGGUUUACUAGAGUCAAUAAUCUAGUUCACAUCGCUAUGUGAUUAACACCCAAAGAGUAUUGAGGUGUGAUCAUGUUUUGCUUGUGAGAGAAGUUUAGUCAACGGGUCUGCCACAUUCAGAUCCGUAAGUAUUUUGCAAAUUUCUAUGUCAACAAUGCUCUUCACAGAGCUACUCUAGCUAAUUUGUCCCACUUUCAAUAUGUAUCCAGAUUGAGAUUUAGAGUCAUCUGGAUCAGUGUCAAAAUUUGCAUCGACGUAACCCUUUACGACGAACCUUUUGUCACUUCCAUAAUCGAGAAACAUAUCCUUAUUCCACUAAGGAUAAUUUUGACCAAUGUCCAGUGAUCUACUCCUAGAUCACUAUUGUACUCCUUUGCCAAACUCAGGGCAGGGUAUACAAUAGGUCUGGUACACAGCAUGGCAUACUUUAUAGAACCUAUGGCUGAGCCAUAGGGAAUGACUUUCAUUCUCUCUCUAUCUUCUGUCGUGGUCGGUUUUUGAGUCUUACUCAACAUCACACCUUGUAACACAGGCAAGAACUCCUUCUUUGACUGUUCCAUUUUGAACUACUUCAAAAUCUUGUCAAGGUAUGUACUCAUUGAAAAACUUAUCAAGCGUCUUGAUCUAUCUCUAUAGAUCUUGAUGCUCAAUAUGUAAGCAGCUUCACCGAGGUCUUUCUUUGAAAAAACUCCUUUCAAACAUUCCUUUAUGCUUUGCAGAAUAAUUUUACAUCAUCUCCAAUCAACAAUAUGUCAUACAUAUACUUAUCAGAAAUAUUGUAGUGCUCCCACUCACUUUCUUGUAAAUAUAGGCUUCACCGCAAGUCUGUAUAAAAAUAUAUGCUUUGAUCAACUUAUCAAAGCGUAUAUUCCAAUUCCGAGAUGCUUGCACCAGUCCAUAGAUGGAUCGCUGGAGCUUGCAUAUUUUGUUAGUACCUUUAGGAUCGACAAAACUUUCUGGUUGUAUCAUAUACAACUCUUCUUUAAUAAAUCCUAAGGAAUGUAGUUUUGUUUAUCCAUUUGCCAGAUUUCAUAAAAUGCGACAAUAGCUAACAUGAUUCGGACAGACUUAAGCAUAGAUACGAGUGAGAAAUUCUCAUCGUUGUCAACACCUUAAACUUGUCGAAAACCUUUUUGCGACAAUUCUAGCUUUGUAGACGGUAACACUACUAUCAGUGUUCAUCUUCCUAUUGAAGAUCCAUUUAAUCUCAAUGGCUCGCCGAUCUUUGGGCAAGUCAAUCAAAGUCCAUACUUUGUUCUUAUACAUGGAUCUCAUCUCAUAUUUCAUGGCCUCGAGCCAUUUCACAGAAUCUGGGCUCAUCAUCGCUUCCUCAUAGUUCGUAGGUUCGUCAUGGUCAAGUAACAUGACCUCCAGAACAGGAUUACCGUACCACUCUGGUGCCGAUCUCACUCUGGUUUACCUACGAGGUUCGGUAGUAACUUGAUCUGAAGUUACAUGAUCAUCAUCAUUAGCUUCCUCACUAAUUGGUGUAGUAGUCACAGGAACAGAUUUCUGUGAUGAACUACUUUCCAAUAAGGGAGCAGGUACAGUUACCUCAUCAAGUUCUACUUUUCUCCCACUCACUUCUUUCGAGAGAAACUCCUUCUCUAGGAAGGAUCCAUUCUCAGCAAUGAAUAUCUUGCCUUCGGAUCUGUGAUAGAAGGUGUACCCAACAUUUUCUUUUGGGUAUCCUAUGAAGACGCACUUCUCCGAUUUGGGUUCGAGCUUAUCAGGUUGAAACUUCUUCACAUAAGCAUUGCAACCUCAAACUUUAAGAAACGACAGUUUAGGUUUCUUGCCAAACCAUAGUUCAUACGGUGUCAUCUCAACGGAUUUAGAUGGUGCCCUAUUUAACAUGAAUGUAGUUGUCUCUAAUGCAUAACCUCAAAACUAUAGUGGUUAAUCGGUAAGAAACAUCAUAGAUUGCACUAUAUCCAAUAAUAGUAUGGUUAUGACAUUCGGACACACCAUUAUGUUGUGGUGUUCCAGGUGGCACGAUUUUGUGAAACUAUUCCACAUUGUUUUAAUUGAAGACCAAACUCGUAACUCAAAUAUUUGUCUCUGCGAUCAGAUCGUAGAAACUUUAUUUUCUUGUCACGAUGAUUUUCCACUUCACUCUGAAGUUUUUGAACUUUUCAAAUGUUUCAGACUUAUGUUUCAUCAAGUAGAUAUACCCAUAUGUGCUCAAAUCAUCUGUGAAGGUCAGAAAAUAACGAUACCCGCCGCGAGCCUCAACAUUCAUCGGACUACAUACAUCAGUAUGUAUUAUUUCCAAUAAGUCAGUUGGUUGCUCCAUUCUUCCGGAGAACGGAGUCUUACUCAUCUUGCCCAUGAGGCACAGUUCACAAGCAUCAACUGAUUCAUAAUCAAGUGAUUCCAAAAGCCCAUCAGCAUGGAUUUUCUUCAUGCGCUUUACACCAAUAUGACCUAAACAGCAGUGCCACAAAUAAGUUGCACUAUCAUUAUUAACUUUGCAUCUUUUGGCUUCAAUAUUAUGAGAAUGUGUAUCACCACAAUCGAGAUCCAACAAACCAUUUUCAUUUGGUGUAUGACCAUAGAAGGUUUUAUUCAUGUAAACAGAACAACAAUUUAUUCUCUUACUUAAAUGAAUAACCCUAUUGCAAUAAACAUGAUCAAAUCAUAUUCAUGCUCAAUGCAAACACCAAAUAACACUUAUUUAGGUUCAACACUAAUCCCGAAAGUAUAGGGAGUGUGUGAUGAUGAUCAUAUCAAUCUUGGAACCACUUCCAACACACAUCGUCACUUCACCCUUAACUAGUCUAUGUUCAUUCUGCAACUCCCGUUUCGAGUUACUACUCUUAGCAACUGAACCAGUAUCAAAUACCGAGGGGUUGCUACGAACACUAGUAAAAUACACAUCAAUAAUCUGUAUAUCAAAUAUACCUUUGUUCACUUUUCCAUCCUUCUUAUCCGCCAAAUACUUGGGGCAGUUCCGCUUCCAGUGACCAGUCCCUUUGAAGUAGAAGCACUUAGUCUCAGGCUUAGGACCAGACUUGGGCUUCUUCACUUGAGCAGCAACUUGCUUGCCGUUCUUCUUGAAGUUCCCUUUCUUUCCCUUUGCCCUUUUCUUGAAACUAGUGGUCUUGUUAAUCAUCAACACUUGAUGCUCUUUCUUGAUAUCUACCUUCAUCGAUUUCAUCAUCAUGAAAAGCUCGGGAAUCGUUUUCAUCAUCCCUUGCAUACUAUAGUUCAUCACGAAGUUCUACUAACUUGGUGAUGGUGACUAGAGAAUUCUGUCAAUCACUAUUUUAUCUGGAAGAUUAACUCCCACUUGAUUCAAGUGAUUGUAGUACCCAGACAAUCUGAACACAUGCUCACUGCUUGAGCUAUUCUCCUCCAUCUUUUAGCUAUAGAACUUGUUGGAGACUUCAUAUCUCUCAACUCGGGUAUUUGCUUGAAAUAUUAACUUCAACUCCUGGAACAUCCAUAUGAUCCAUGACGUUCAAAACGUCUUUGAAGUCCCGAUUCUAAGCUGUUAAGCAUGGUGCACUAAACUAUCAAGUAGUCAUCAUAUUGAGCUAGCCAAAUGUUCAUGACCUCUGCAUCUGCUCCUGCAAUAGGUCUGUCACCUAGCGGUGCAUUAAGGACAUAAUUCUUUUGUGCAGCAAUGAGGAUAAACCUCAGAUCACGGAUCCAAUCCGCAUCAUUGCUACUAACAUCUUUCAACUUAGUUUUCUCUAGGAACAUAUCAAAAAUAAAACAGGGAGCUAAACGCGAGCUAUUGAUCUACAACAUAGAUAUUCUAAUACUACCAGGACUAAGUUCAUGAUAAAUUUAAGUUCAAUUAAUCAUAUUACUUAAGAACUCCCACUUAGAAAGAUAUCCCUCUAAUCUUCUAAGUGAUCACGUGAUCCAAAUCAACUAAACCAUAACCGAUCAUCACGUGAAAUGGAGUAGUUUUCAAUGGUGAACAUCACUAUGUUGAUCAUAUCUACUAUAUGAUUCACGCUCGACCUUUCAGUUUCAGUGUUUCGAGGCCAUAUCUGCAUAUGCUAGGCUCGUCAAGUUUAACCUGAGUAUUCUGCGUGUGCAAAACUGGCUUGCACCCGUUGUAGAUGGACGUAGAGCUUAUCACACCCGACCAUCACGUGGUGUCUGGGCACGACAAACUUUGGCAACGAUGCAUACUCAGGUGGAACACUUUUAUCUUGAAAUUUAGUGAGAGAUCAUCUUAUAAUGCUACCGUCAAUCAAAGCAAGAUAAGAUGCAUAAAAGAUAAACAUCACAUGCAAUCAAAGUAUGUGAUAUGAUAUGGCCAUCAUCAUCUUGUGCCUUUGAUCUCCAUCUCCAAAACAUCGUCAUGAUUUCCAUCAUCACUGGCAUGACACCAUGAUCUCCAUCAUCUUGAUCUAUAUCAAUGUGUCGUCACAUGGUCGUCUCGCCAACUAUUGUUCUUGCAACUAUUGCUAUCGCAUAGCGAUAAUUGUAAAGCAAUUAUUUGGCGCUUGCAUCUUAUGCAAUAAAGAGACAACCAUAAUGCUUCUGCCAGUUGCCGAUAACUUCAACAAAACAUGAUCAUCUUAUACAACAACUUAUAUCUCAUCACGUCUUGACCAUAUCACAUCACAACAUGCCCUGCAAAAACAAGUUAGACGUCCUCUACUUUGUUGUUGCAAGUUUUACGUGGCAGCUACGGGCUGAGAAGAACCGUUCUUACCUACGCAUCGAAAAUCGUCCCUCGAACUCCGAUCCAGCCGAGUGUUGAGGGAGAAUUUCGUCAGCAUGAUGGCGUGGUGAUAAUGAUGAUGUUCUACCGACGCAGGGCUUCGCCUAAGCACCGCUACGAUAUGAUCGAGGUGGAUUAUGGUGGAGGGGGGCACCGCACACGGCUGAGAGGUCAAGAGAUCAAUUGUUGUGUCUUUGGGGUGCCCUCCGCCCCCGUAUAUAAAGGAGUGGAGGAGGGGGAGGGCCGGCCCUCUCUAUGGCGCGCCCUAGGGGAGUCCUACUCCCACCGGGAGUAGGAUUCCCCCUUUCCUAGUAGAACUAGGAGCCCUUCCAAGUAGUAGGAGUAGGAGGGGAGGAAAGGGAAGGGAAAAGGAGAAGGAAGGAAGGGGGCGCCCCCCCCCCUCCCUAGUUCAAUUCGGACCAGCCCAUGGGGAGGGGUGCGGCCACCCUUUGAGGCCUUUCUCUCCUUUCCCGUAUGGCCCAUUAAGGCCCAAUACGAAUUCCCAUAACUCUCCGGUACUCCCGAAAAUACCUGAAUCACUCGGAACCUUUUCGGUGUCCGAAUAUAGUCGUCCAAUAUAUUGAUCUUUACGUCUCGACCAUUUCGAGACUCCUCGUCAUGUCCCCGAUCUCAUCCGGGACUCCGAACUCCUUCGGUACAUCAAAACACAUAAACUCGUAAUAUAACCGUCAUCGAACUUUAAGCGUGCGGACCCUACGGGUUCGAGAACUAUGUAGACAUGAUCGAGACACGUCAAUAACCAAUAGCGGAACCUGGAUACUCAUAUUGGCUCCUACAUAUUCUACGAAGAUCUUUAUCGGUCAAACCGCAUAACAACAUACGUUGUUCCCUUUGUCAUCGGUAUGUUACUUGCCCGAGAUUCGAUCGUCGGUAUCUCAAUACCUAGUUCAAUCUCGUUACCGGCAAAUCUCUUUACUCAUUCAGUAAUAUAUCAUCCCGCAACUAACUCAUUAGUUGCAAUGCUUGCAAAGCUUAAGUGAUGUGCAUUACCGAGAGGGCCCAGAGAUACCUCUCCGACAAUCGGAGUGACAAACCUAAUCUCGAAAUACGCCAACCCAACAAGUACCUUCGGAGACACCUGUAGAGCAUCUUUAUAAUCACCCAGUUACGUUGUGACGUUUGGUAGCACACAAAGUGUUCCUCUGGUAAACAGGAGUUGCAUAAUCUCGUAGUCAUAGGAACAUGUAUAAGUCAUGAAGGAAGCAAUAGCAACAAACUAAACGAUCAAGUGCUAUGCUAACGGAAUGGGUCAAGUCAAUCACAUCAUUCUCCUAAUGAUGUGAUCCCGUUAAUCAAAUGACAACUCAUGUCUAUGGUUAGGAAACAUAACCAUCUUUGAUCAACGAGCUAGUCAAGUAGAGGCAUACUAGUGACACUCUGUUUGUCUAUGUAUUCACAUAUGUAUUAUGUUUCCGGUUAAUACAAUUCUAGCAUGAAUAAUAAACAUUUAUCAUGAUAUAAGGAAAUAAAUAAUAACUUUAUUAUUGCCUCUAGGGCAUAUUUUCUUCAAUUAUCUGCUCAGAUCAGCGAUGGCUCAAAUGAUUAUGUAGGCUGGUCACACUGGUGAAUUUGUGGGGUCAAAUUAAAGGAACGCUAAUAUACAUUUUCAUGGAAACUUCAAUCAAUACAACAGUUGGGAAUGAUCUCAAUUCAACUGCAAGGGGCAUGGUUUUCUUUAGUUUCUUAAUUUUCAACAAAAGCAGUGUGGCCAAUUAUACAACAUUAGUGAUUUUUCAUAUCUCCCUACCAGCCCAACGAAGUGGUUUGGUAAUACCACUCGGGCGUUGUUGUCUAAAGUGAGAAGGCAAAGUGACUGUCGGAAGUAGUCAAUUUAGUAGAGGAGGAGCGGUGCGAGAGACAGUCGCUAACGCUGAUGUUGAAGUGGAUGGUAAAGAAUAAAUAUGGGCAUCACCUAUAAAUCAACACGUGUCUUUAUUCUGUGUCAUCUCUUAUACUAUCUAAAAAGAACGUAAGGUUCUCGUUUUACCUUUCUUCCCACAACCAUUUCGUCCAACCUUCCAUGUAUAUGAUAGUUAAUCAUCUUAAUUUACUUAUCUUCUAAACCAAUUCCACUUUAAUUUACUUACCAAACUUCUAAUCAAAAUAUAAGGUAAUUCACGGGCAGAAUUUUAUGAACAUUUAUUUACACAAUCGCAUUAUUAUUGACAGGAAAAUCACAAGCUAACGUACUAGAAUAUUUAUAUCCCGUUGCAACGCAUGGCCAUUGUUCUAGUUUUUAUUAUAAACCAAUUAAAAAUAGUUUCAUUCUUCUUAAAGACUAUAAGAGUAGACAUUAAAAUAUACUUUUAAACAAGAUAGUUAUUAAAAUAUUGUCAAUAUAUAAAGUUGUGCACAAUAUAAUUGUUGUGCAUGAUCAUCACCAAAACAAAAAAGAUAGGGUGACAUGAGAAUCAACGACGUUUGUGAGGUAGGGAGCAUGCGCUAAGAUUAUUUUCCUCGAGAGCUUCGACUUAUAUUUUUUUUACCAGAUUCCUACCCUAAUUUAAGAGCUAAACAUAUACAAAUCAAACAUACAUAAUUAGAAGUGAAUAUAGAGCAUGAUUGGAUUGGUGCCAAAUAUUUAGCAAUGUGCCAAAUAUUGGCUACAACUUGAUUAGUUACCGAGUUGUUUUGCGUGUCUCACAUAAAAUCUCUACUCCUAAUCUCUACUCCUAAUGGACGAGUUGUUGAAUAGUUCCCCCACUUUCGUCUGGUUUUUUUUCAACCGGUUUUUUUUUCAUCACCCCCACACCAACCCACCGAACCCCGCCCACGCACGUAGACAAAGAAAACAGCGUCCUGCCGCAGAUCAGGAUCGGCCUGCCGUCGAACCUCAUACCCCGCCGGAUCUCGCCGCCUGAGUCCAUCUGGAUCGCCGCCGUCAUGCGAUCUGCGCAGCCGUCGUACGAUCUGCGCACUCCACAGCGCCGCCGCGGCGGAACCACUCGACAGCGCCGCCGCCACAGAACCACUGGACAGCGCCACCGCCGCGGAACCACGACAGCGACAUAGGAGUUCCCGUCGGCAACGCUGUACGGAUUCAACCCCAGGUAUGAACACACAUGCUUUGUUUGUUAUGUAUACGUGUACAGAUCAGAACAUAUACAACUGUCCACAAAUGUAAUACAUGAUAACUUGGGCGGAACAUAUACAACUUUCGGUUAAUCUAUACAUGACAGGCAUAAUUGGUUAAUCUAUAUAACCGGUCCACAACAGUAAGUGCAAUGGUUGUAGUCAAGCAUCUAAAGGUCCUUUGGUUAGAGCAGGUCUACCCUUUCAGCUAGAACAAGUACUUUGAUAUUCAUUCCUUCUCCAUAUUCACCAUGAAGGAUACUCUCAAAGAUCCAUACCUGGUUAAGAGCAUAGUGUUGGGCUUCACAUGACAAAAGGAAAAAUAAUUACCUGCCCGAUUGUACCAUCCUCAAAGUCAGCAUUGAAGGAUUCAUAAAUAUUGUCGAACGUCAUACCCUCCAAGACAUCAUAAUUAUAUGGACCUGGAAUAAACCAAACGAAUAAAAGGAUGAAAGCAAACAGAAACUAAAUCAAGCCAUGCCAGAAUUCAUUUUGCACCUAUGGUACACAUGAAAUUACCCGACGUUCCAAAAUAAGUGGAAUGCGACAUAUCUAUUGCUAUUUUGUUACAACAGAAACGGAUUCUCAACUCAAAUGAAGUGCAAAUAAAAAUAGAUCUUGUGUAAUACAGUUAUGUGCUUGAGAACGAAAAUAGCAAUAGAUUUGAUUAACAUAAUACGGAAGGUCAGAGCUGGAAUAUGCAGUCGUGGUAGUCAUUUUUCCUGUUAACAGGCUCCAAUACUCAGACCAAGCAACCCCGAUCAUGUUUAUAACCAGCAAAUUCAGUUUUCAAAAAAAUGCAAAGUAGCAAAGUCUGUUGGACAUGUCUUUCUAUUUUCAUAUGUAUAGCAAAGCUGCCCUUAUGGACUGAGUUUCUGUAGCAUGGGAACGGGCGUUUAGUACUGUUGGUAUUUCACGUUAUCUGCUUGCAGAGUCAGUUUACAAGUUUUUGCGGGAUACCUGAGUCUGUUAGACAUGUCUUUUUUUUAGUAGUUACCUAUGGGGACUCCACACAGCAAGCCAACAGAACAGACGACACCAUCGCCGAUACCUCCAGGUAUAUGUUCACCUGUAAAUUGUGCUACACAAGUCAAACACCAACCCAGGAAACUGAAUUUGUUGCAGGCCCGACGGAGGGGACAAGUGUUGACGACUCUAAUGAAGGGAUUAUACCCGUAGCCGACGUUGUUGACAUAAUGUACCCACGUAGUCCAGGUAUAAGGCUUAAUUUUAUCCUUUUUAUGUGAAAAAUCAUACCUAACAGACUUGGGCACAACCGAUUCUGAUAUAUCAACAUCGUGACUUGUAGGAGUCCAUAUUACUCCCUACGAACGGAUGAUACUUGAGACCGAUGGUGAUAGCACAUAUGAUACUCCAGGUAUAUAUCUACCUCCAUGUAUAUGUUCAGCUACAUAUUUUGUUAUACAUGUCAAACACCAUCACAGGAGAUGUUGCAGGCCCAAUGGUGGGGACAAAUGGUGACGACUCUUACGAAGGGGUUAUACCUGUAGCCGACGAUGUUCACCAUGUGUCGAAAGGUUAACACCAUGCGCUUACAACUUUGCCUUAUAUCGGUCCUGUAUAUUGUUAUGUUUACAUGAUGCAGACAACCCUUCAAUCUCAUGCCUAUAUAAUGUAGAUUCGUUGCCGGCUCUCAGUAAUCUGACAAAAGAACUAGCUAGCAUGACAAGUGACAUUUGGGAAGAGAGGCCUCAGAAUGUCCCACGCCAUCCUCUCAGUGAUAUCACUAAUGCAGAUCAAUCCUCUAUGGACCUUCAUGAAAAGAGAGCUAAUGAAAGCUCGGAGGCGAGCUGCUUAUAGAAAGAAAAAAGAGGAGGCUACCGCCAAGCAACAAGAUGAAAAACUGUCUGCCCUUACGAUAUCAGGUAAGAAUGCUUUAUGGGAAGGCACUGCGAGGAUAUUAUAUAUACUCCCUCCAUUCCACAAUAUAAUGUUAACAUCAAAUCACAUGCAGAUAUGCAAAAUGUUCCCAUGUUACCUCUCGGUGAUAUCACUAAUGUGUGUCAACCAACCUCGGUGGACCUUGAUGAGAAAAAAGAGCUAAUAAAUGCUCGGAGGCGAGCGGGUUAUCGAAAGAAAGAAGAGGAGGCAGACAGCAAGCAACAAGAUGAAAAUCUGCCUGCAAUUACGAAAUCAGGUAAGGAUGGUUUUAUGUUUCAGCAAUACGAUGACCGUAUGUAUACUUUCUGAGUGAAGAAUCUAGGCGAUGUAUGUUUCCUCACCCCAACCCCACAAAUAAUUGACCGAACAAUAGUUGACCACUGUGUUGUGCAUACAAUUCCUGAUCAUUUAGGUUCAAUUCGAUAUAGGUCAGAUAUACGACUUUUGAUUCCAUAUACACUUUAUGUAUGGACACGGAGGGAUUAUAUAAAAAAUAAACCCUAGAUAGAGAAGUGGCUUCAACCAGACAUGUUGCCUCUCGGUGAACAAUGAAGACCCUAAACCCUCCGUGCAUAUAUGCAAAAUGUUCUGCUGUUAACUCUCAGGGAUACCAACCCAACUACAUCCAGCUAUACAUCAUUGUUUAACAAGACCCUAAACCCUCCAUGCACAUAUGCUAAAUGUUCCCAUGUUACCUCUCGGUGAUAUCACUAAUGUGUGCCAACCAUCCUCGGUGGACCUUGACGAGAAAAAAGAGCAAAUAAAGGCUCGGAGGAGAGCUGCUUAUCGAAAGAAAAAAGAGGAGGCAGCCAGCAAGCAACUAGAUGAAAAUCAGCCUGCCCUUACGAUAUCGGGUAAGAACGGUAAGAACGUUUUAUGUUUCAUCAAUAUGUUUCAGCACUGGGAUUAUAUUACAUACCCGCUCGGUUUCAUAAUAUAUGGUUACUAUGUUUUCAUGAAACUGAACCAUUUGAAUCUUUGUCCAACAUUCUAAAAUAAUACAACAGAUAAAACAAACUUUGUAUUGUCGAUAUUGGUAUUUGUUGAGAUUCUGCUACCUUGCAAAAUGUUGAACAAUGAACUUCUGAUUAUGUUUUCACACUGCUAUAAAGAACACAAGGGUGACUUAACAGACGAGCAAAGUGAGCAGAGAAAUGCGCGGAGGCGAGCAAAUUAUCAGAAAAAAGUGGGCGACGGAACGAUCGAUCUUCAAGAAAAAAAUCAGAAGUUGCGAGAAUGGCACGUGCAACACCCCUAAAACCAUGACUGAGGAUGAAAGGGGGGAAUCAAGUGCAAAAAGAAAGGCAAAGUAUGCUGCAAAAAGAAAAGACCCCGUGUGCGGAAUCGAUCGCUAUGCCUCGUCCAGAUCUAACUAGCACAUUGUCCAGCACUCACACACAUUGUCCGACUCUCACGCUCUCAGCCAUCACGCCACAAUCUGACAGUGAACAAAUAGAUCAUGCUCCUACCGUGAAUGCGGUCCCCACAUACAUCCGCAACACCGAAACCGAUGGUAGUUAUCCUAUGAACCAUCAUCUUUCAUCAUGUAAUCAUUCAUGACAUAUAAAUAAUGGUUCGAUAAUGUUGUAGGUGCAUACCUAAGCAGAACCUUUGGUGAUGGUGCUGUAGAUGGCGACCUCAUCGAAAUCAAUGAGCACAUACAAAAUGCCGACCAGCAAACCAGUGAUCCGGUAACAAAGCCGGAUAAUGGCGGACGAGCAGAGUCAUGAGUCCAGAGCUCGGCGUGGGACGAGAGAGCGAGCUUGCAAGGGAAGUAUGGCGGCGAAGACGCGUCAGGUGAAAAUAGGGAAGCAAAAAACAUGUUCGAAGGUACCACGUGGUGAGAGAAAUGCUCUACGCGACCCGCGUAAUGAAAGGUUUGCAGGUAGGGUAAUGACACCAACCGCCAGGUCCAUCUCCAUACCGGAAAUGAGCUCAACUGGACAACCUACCGUAGUGGAAGCACAUGGUGCCUCGACCCCAUCUAGCACGUCGGAGUACACGAUCAGAAGUGAAGGUAACACUCCCAUCCUUACUCUCUUGCGUUCCUUGAGACUAAACCCUCAUUUAUUGGUUUCGCACCUGAGCAGACGACAUGGACGCUUACCUUAGUCGUCUCAUGAAUGAUAAUGUCAACCCUGACAGCCUCUUUGACGAUGAGUAUUACCUUUUUGCUGGUGAAGGUAUGUCCACAGUACACCCACUGGAGCAACAUCCACCCGUUGGAAAUAUCACACCAAUUAUAAACAUUGUUUGCAGGCUCAGAUGUUGAUGGCAUGGAGCACGACGAAUUGGAAGACUCAAGUAAAAAUACCUAUGUCGACCAUGAUCCAUUGGACUAUGUCUACUCAAACCUCCCGGACCACACACACAUCCUGAAGCACGCCGCAAAUUGCCAUCACUGCAAGGCCAAGAAGUUUGUGUCCGAGGCCCUAGGAUUCUGUUGUCGCAGUGGGCAGAUCCAGCUGAAGCAACCGAAGGCCAUCCCGGAGCUAAUGAGGCUUUGGUCUAGCAUGGAUGCGGACUCAAGGCAUUUUCGGGAGAACAUACGGUUCUUCAACGGCCACUUCUCCUUCACAACCCUCGGCGUCAGCCUUGAUGAAAGCUACACAAACAUGAAGUCUAGGGUGUACACGUUCCGGGCGCACGGCACCAUUUACCACAACAUGCAUUCCUUCGGGCCAACAUCACGUCCAGAUCAUCUACAGUUGUACUUCUACGACGACGACCCAGGCCUAACCCAUCGCAAGGCUGCCACCGAGCAAUUAGACCAGGAUGUCGUCAGAAAGUUAGUGGACAUACUCGGGGAAAACCCGUACUCCCAGCAGUUUAGGAGUUUGGGUGCGCACAGGGACAACCUCGACGAUUACAGGAUAGACCUAAACACUGACGCGAGACUAGACCAACGGAAGUAUAAUAGACCUCUGUCAUCUGAGGUCGCUGCAAUUUGGGUGGAGGGCACUGACCUAGCGAAGAGGUUCGAUCGUAGGAUUACACUUUGCGGGAAUGACAACCAGAGGCACAGUAUACAUGUGACGGCUGGCCCGUAUGACCCGCUCUCUUACCCACUCUUCUACCCAAGGGGGGAGCUCGGUUGGCACCCGAAACUUCCUAAACAUGAUGUCCCUUGGCCGGUUGUGCAACAACCAAGAGGUAGACGUGAUGAUGAUGAUGAUGAUGAUGCAGGUAAGCCUCAUGCGUGUUCUGUCGUUUAGAUUAAUUGUAUACUUCUCAUAUGAAUCCUAAUGUCCGCGUUACUCAUCCAUGUGCAGAUGGGAAUAGCAGGUUAUACGUCUCGGUGAGAGACUACUACUGUUACAUGCUACAGACACGACCUGGGAUAUUCAAUCCCAUACUCUGUGGAGCACGAUUGCUCCAGCAAUGGGGGGUGGACAUGUACAUCAAGAUUGAGAGUUGUAGGUUGAAAUGGUACAGGAAGAACCAGACAAAGAUCCGCGCCGAUCUGUAUAAAGGAGUUGUUGAUGCAAUUACAUCCGGGGAGACUCGGGCAAGCGCUGUUGGGGUAAGGAUAGUGCUCCCUGGAACGUAUCCAGAUGGCGACCGCGACAUGAAGCGGAGGCAUAUGGAUGCCAUGGCAAUUGUCCAUACCUACGGGAAGCCUGACAUCUUCUUGACCAUGACCUGCAACCCUAACUGGGAAGAGAUAACGAAUGAGUUGUUUCCUGGUCAAACAGCGCAAGACCGACCUGAUCUUGUUGCUCGUGUGUUCCAUGGCAAGCUAGAGGCUAUGAAAGAGAUGUUCAAGAAGAAUAUCUUGGGUGUGGUUGUCGCACAUGUAUACGUAGUCGAGUUCCAGAAGAGGGGCCUCCCCCACACACACUUUUGUUGAUCAUGGAUUCUGCCUAUAAGCUUGUCGUUCCGGAGCAGUACGACCGACUCAUUUCUGCCGAGCUACCAGACAAGCAGAAGUAUCCUGAACUCCACGCCUUGGUGGUGAAACAUAUGAUGCACGGACCAUGCGGUGUUCUCAAUCCCAAAAAUGUGUGCAUGCAACAGAACGAGUGCAAGUGCAGAUACCUGCGGUCGUUCAAUGAAAACACGGCACAGGGUAAGGACUCAUACCCUGUUUAUCGUCGUCGAGAUAGUGGUCGGCAGGCUAAGGUCCGGGGUAAAAUGUUGGACAACAGAUGGGUUGUUCCGUAUAACCCUUACCUUCUGCGGAUGUUCAAUUGCCAAAACAACGUUGAGGUUUGCUCCAGCAUAAAGGCCGUCAAAUACCUUUACAAGUACAUAUACAAGGGCCAUGAUAGGGCUUCUUUCAGCAUCGACCAGCCUGACGCCGAUGGUAACAUUGAUGAGAUAAAACGAUACGUAGACGCGAGGUGGGUUACUCCUCCAGAGGCGAUGUGGAGGAUAUUUGGCUUCCCCUUGUGUGCCAAUGAGCCACCUGUCCUACAGUUGCCUCUUCAUCUCCCGAAUAUGCACAGGGUGGCAUUCAAUGAGCAAGCUCACUUGACCGACGUAGUCGCCUCUGAGAAAGCUUCCAAAUCCAUGUUGACAGAGUAUUUCAAAGCUAACCAAGACCACCCGUGGGCUAGGAAUAUAUUGUACAAGGAUUUUCCUGGAAGGUUCACAUGGCAGAAGGGUAAGAAGUAUUGGAAAGAGCGGGUGGAACGUUUUCAGAUAGGUCGAAUUAUGUCUGCCAAUCCUGCCGAGGGGGAGCGGUACUAUAUGCGUGUGUUGCUAAACCAUGUUGCUGGCAAGACAUCCUAUGAGGACCUGCUCACCGUGGACGGUAGGCUAUGCGGGAGCUUUAGAGAGGCUUCCGAAAGGUUGGGACUCAUCGAGGCAGAUAACACGCUCGACGACUGUCUUACCGAGGCAGAGCAGUGGGCGAUGCCAUGUUCGCUCAGGAGGCUCUUCGCAACAAUUUUGGUGCACUAUGAGCCAGGCGACGUGUGUGGUUUAUGGGAUAGGCACUUUGAACCUAUGUCUGAUGACUAUCGACGAUCACACACGUGCCUGAUUGAGGUGGAACAAAUGGUGUUGCUUGACAUUAGGGGUAUGUUGCAGUCCAUGGGCAAAGACAUAGCUGAUUUCGCUCUUCCAUGCAUUGACGACUCGUUCGACCCAACCGAGGGCGAGGCCAGAGAAGUGGUCGAGGAAUCCAACGUCGAUUUUGACAUCAACGACACUAAAUUGGCUUCGUCGCUAAACUCAGAGCAGAGGGCUGCAUACGACGAGAUACUAGCUUCUGUUGAACGCGGUGAUGGGGGUGUGUUCUUUGUUGAUGGCCCGGGAGGUACAAGGAAGACUUUCCUGUACAGGGCGUUGCUCGCCAAGGUUCGAAGCGACGGAAACAUCGCUAUCGCUACCGCGACGUCAGGCGUCGCUGCUUCUAUCAUGCCUGGAGGCAGGACUGCCCACUCGAGGUUCAAGAUCCCAUUGAGCUGUGACAAUGGCGCCUCAUGCACCUUCACGAAGCAGAGUGGUACCUCCAAGCUACUGAAGAUGGCCUCAUUGAUACUAUGGGAUGAGGCCACCAUGACUAAGCGACAGGCGGUUGAGGCACUGGACAACAGCAUGCGCGACAUCAUGGGAAGACGGGACCGACCCUUUGGAGGAAAAACUGUUGUGUUUGGCGAGGACUUCAGGCAGGUGCUUCCGAUCGUCAGGAGGGGGUCCCGGGGUCAGAUAAUCGAUGCAACCCUCCGAAGUUCACACCUCUGGAAGGGUAUGCGCCAGCUAAGGCUCGUCACCAACAUGAGGGCUCAUAAUGACACCUGGUUUGUGGACUACUUGCUAAGGGUAGGCAAUGGCACCGAGGAAGUUUACGAUCAAGGAAACAUACGACUCCCUGAAGAUAUUUUUGUGCCGUCUACAGGCAAGGGUGACAACCUGGAGAAGCUGAUUGACCAUGUGUUUCCGAGACUAGAUGACAACAUGUCCGAUCCGAAUUACAUGACUUCACGUGCAAUCCUCUUCACCACGAACGACAAAGUCGACAAGAUAAACAUACGCAUGGUAGAGCAUUUUCGGCGAGAAGUAAUCUACCAUAGCUUUGACAGUGUAGAAGACAACCCGUAUGGCUACUACGCUCCCGAGUUCCUAAAUGGAUUGACUCCCAACGGUCUGCCUCCGCAUGCACUCAAACUGAAGCUCAACUGCCCUGUCAUACUUCUCCGGAACAUUGAUCCGGCUAAUGGUCUGUGUAAUGGACGAGGCUUGUGGUGCGAGGUUUCGAGAGGAACACCAUCGACGCAGAAAUCGUGAUCGGACAACAUGCAGGUAGGAGGGUAUUCCUUCCUCGAAUACCCCUAUGCCCGUCUGACAACGACAUGUUUCCAUUCAAGUUCAAGAGGAAGCAAUUUCCUGUAAGGCUUAGCUUUGCUAUGACGAUUAACAAGGCUCAAGGCCAGACGAUUCCGAUUGUUGGCGUGUACCUACCUAAUCCGGUGUUCUCUCAUGGUCAACUGUAUGUUGCAUUGUCUCGAGCCACCGCAAAGAGAAAUAUAAAGAUCCUCAUUGAGAAGGAGAAGGAGAAUGCCAAGAAGGAAAGCGGUAAAUCUAAGAAGCGAAAAAGACCUGCCUUGUCCUUACAAACCUCGAUGAAGAACAUCGUCUAUAAGGAAGUCCUUACAGGCUGAAGUCCAUUCUUAAAUAUGUGAGAGGAUUUACUCUUAUGCUACAGGUAAUUUUGUGCUCUUUGCUGUCUUUGUACAUAUCUCUAUCUUUCGAUGUUUGCAAUUGAACUUUAUUAUGUUUAUAGUACAAGGCAAGUAUUAAUAAUAUUGCCUCGGAGUUGUGACUUUGCAAGUUGCCAAAUUUUGUUGUAUGCGAAAUUAUUUUUUGUUAUGCUGGUUUGCUUAUGUAUAUUAUUCUUUUGUUGUUUUGUAAUCAAUCAUCUACUACAUCUAAACUCGGCUUUGUUUUUCUACACAAAUAUUGCACACUGCCUUGGUCACUUCGUCAUUGUAAAACUAGACUCCACUCAAGUGUUCUACAAUACAGAAAUAUUUAUGAUGUGGCCCCAAAGCGGCCACAAAACUGGACCACCAUACAAUAUAUCAAAACUAUAUCUAUAUAUUAUUUAUCAUAGGUGGAGGUCCCUGUAUAGUCUCUUAUUCCCCUGCAUGUUGCAGCAGUCUUUGUAUGUGACAUUAUUUUUCGUUUUGCUGGUUUGCUUAUGUGUAUUAUUCUUUUGUUGUUUUGCAAUCAUUCACGUACUACAUCUAAACUCGGAUUUGUUUUCCUGCACACAUAUUGCACACUGCCUUGGUCACUUCGUCAUUGUAAAAUUAGACUCCACUCAAGUGUUCUACAUUACAGAAAUAUUUUUGAUGCGGCCCCAAAGCGGCCACAAAACUGGACCACCACACAAUAUGAAAACCAUAUCUUUAUUAUAUUAUGUCUCAUGGGUGGAGGUCCCUGUAUAGUCUCUUAUUUCCCCGUUAUUUGAAUUUUAUAAUGCUGGCUUUUCAAUACAUACAUAAACAGCCAUGCUGUGUUGCAGGUUUGGCGCAAGGAAACGGCUAUUAUUAGUUGCGAGGUCCAACGAUGGUGAUCGGAUUCGGAUGACUUGAGCAAAGCUGUGAAAAUUCAUGUGUACUAUACAAUAUGUCCAGAUGCAUGGCUAUUCACCAAGAACGCAGACUGCAUGCUUAAUUAUUUUUGCGAUCUUUGUGGGUCUAUGCCUACAAACUACAGCCUGAGCCACUUCAUAGCUCAUAAAUCAUUAUUACUAGAAUAUAACAAAAAUAUUCUAAACCACCUUCUGGCCUGCCAAGUAAACAACUAUUUAAACUUUCUAUCGGCUCAUAAAUCAUAGCUUGCAGACCAUCACGAAUCUAUAAUUGAUGAGAAUGGUAGUAAGGGGCACAACACAGCUUAUCAAGCAAUGUUGUUGUUAGUAGAAGAGUUUAUAUCAGUACCUUCCAGUUUCUUCACAUAGAGUUCCUUGGCGGCCAACAUUGUAAUGCUGAUCUCAGUCCAACUUCCACAAGAGGAGGUUUGCCUUGUUGAGACUGGAAAUGGCCCAAGAAUCUGCAUUUCAAAAAAACACAACAUAUAAAUCUUGUGAGUAAUAAUAUUAGACCAAUGUCUCUCUACUCCUAAGGUUUUGUCAGAGUGAUAUUUUUGCACACAUAAAUCAACUUACACAUUUAUAGCAUCCGGCUUCUCAGGAUCUGUGUAAGCAUUAUUGUAUUAACGCUGAAGGGUUCAAAGGAACUCCUGGGAUUGGGUUGCUGCCUUCCACUGCCCUCUUUGCUCACUGAAGAUCUGCCGCAUGUUUCAAUGCAGAAGUUAGACUGAUCAUUCAAAAUACAAAGUUGGAUGUAUGUUGACUAUUGAACAAUGCCUACCAACAAGACUCAAAUCAUUUUGAAAGAAAGAUAUUCAAGAUUAAAACAGCAAACACUUAAAAUGAGAAUUAACUAUAGGUUUUUUCUCAAAAACUAUAAUCAGUAAGAAAUGCAUGUUAAUUUAGUCACAAAAAUUUCAGAUGCAAACACUCGAGAAAUUUUUUCAUAAGUACACUCAACAUGCUUGGGUGACAGAUGCCCUCGGCCUAUUAUCAGUCAUCUACUACUAAACAAGUUUCCAAAGGGCAAAGCCGCGUGUACGAAUUGAUUUAGGAAGUUCAUUUAAUCAUAGGAGGACCUGUGAGAGCAAACGUCUCAUAUUAGGUAUCAACUGUACUGGUGCGCUGACCUUUGCUAAAAUGACAAGCAUGACAGACUGACCCAUGAUACUAGCCAGCAAUUGCUCUUUCAGAUUCCUAUUUUCAGCUAACAGGUGGCCCUAAUGUUUAUUUGAAUUAAACAUUUGGCCAAAUCGCCAAACACAACAUUAGGGUAAGACAAACAAACAUGUUAUUUGAGCAACACAUUGAUAAAUAUUGUGAGAUUUAUAUACUAAUUAUCAAAGGUUCCAAUAAUCAACAUGGGUGGAUGUUAUACACGAUUCAGCGUGCUGCAGUGCUGAUUUGGCACAUUAACAAGGCUUUUUCUUUCUCGAAUACACUUAAACAAGACUUGGUGUUACUACUUUUUAUUUCUUUAGUCAGUUUUGGGGUUGUCUUCUGAAAAAUAUAAAUGGAAGACCAGGUAAACUUUGCAACAGCCAGUACAACCUUAUACGAGGCUAGCUAUCGGCUAUCAUAAUUGUUCUAUUUCACAACUAUCAUGCUGUUUGAACAUCUCAGUACCUUUUAGAUACUUAUUAUUACAUUGGAGUAUUAUGCCAAUGGAAUUUGAUGGAAGCGAUGGCACCGUAAUAGCACCAUCAACACAAUGCAUGUAUUACGAUAUCAUCAAAUCAGACAUUAUAUAAGCAUAGUAGUCCCCACAUAUGUUAUUCAAUAAAAAUAUGAGUAUCCGUACAACAAUUAUGGGAAAAAACAUGCUUGAGUAGCUCUCUAGAAAUACUAGGGUUGAUGCAAUGAAAGCCUAUUUAAGUCAAUGUGGUGUUUAAAAGGAUGCUUGAAUUCAAUGAAGUACAUCUAACAUUGACAUUGCAGUUUUAUGCAAGGUGAGUAAAAGAACGGCAGCAGCUUCCUCAAAGAAGUAUAUCUAACAUUGAUAACUGAUUUACCUUUGCAAACUGCUCAAGAAGGGCAGCAACUUCCUCCUCCACAGCUAUGCAGGACUCAAGCACAUCCCAGUUAGGCCAAAACCACCUCUUGAUUAGCAUUAUGGAUUCAGUUGCAUUGAUGGAUUCAGAGUACUACUGCCGGCACUCCCUGUUUCUUGGCUUGCUGAGGAAAGAAAGCAACCAACCAACAAAUUCAGAUGAGGGGCUUGCAAGCAAGCAGGCCAAGAGAGCAAAGGAGGGGCUUACCAUCAGCUAUGCGGGAGCCGAGCGAGGUAGCGCUUUCUGAGACGGUCGAUGGAGAUGCCGAGGUUGCCAGGCAAGGGGGGCGUUCCGGUUUCUUGGCCGGCUGAAGCAGCGGGACGAGCGACAUCGUGUGGCCGGCCGGCGGCAGCGGUGGGGGCGUGGACGGGUGGUCAGACACGCCGGUGGCUGAGGCAGGGGCGCCCCCGCGGCGCGUCGCUCGGCGCACGCCGUGCCGCAGAGCUUCGAGCCGUCGUCGCUCCUUGCGGAGGGUGGCGGCGUCGGGGAGCAGUCGUCGCCCUGGCCGUGCCUGUGAGACCGGGUCACGGCGCCGCGGCACACCAGGGAAGAGGAAACCACAUCAGGGAAGGAAUAUGUGGAAGAAGAAGAGGAGAGGGGGCGCAUCAAGCAUGGGGAGUGGCGUACCGGAGCUGCUCCGCUUGCAGAUCGAGCCGCCCCGCGUCGGAUCGACCUGCGACCUCGCCGGAGAGGAGCACCACCGCGGAUCCGACCGGAAUGAGACCGGAUCGAGCACGCACGCCCGGGUCAGGAAGCUCGAUGCGUCUGCCUCCGUCGAUCGCGCCGCACACAGCUGGUCGUAGUCCCAAGCCCCGCCAAUUCAUGAGACCGAUUCGGUGGUCGGCGGGCGGAGUCGCGCGGUUGCGGGCUCGUCGACGCGCGCGGCGAUGCGGCGGGGGGAGCCGGGGAGGGGAGAGGGCGAGAGGUGGUCAGUGAGUGGAUAGGAGAGGAGAGAGUGCUGGGGAUAAGGUUCAUUUUUUUAUAUUUAGUUUUUUUAGGUGGGGGUAAGCUUGGGUGCUGGUUGGGCCGUGAUGGAUAGCUAAUUUGGGCCUUUGAUGGCAAAUUUUGCUCAACGAAAAAACAUAGAUAUUGAAAGUAUAUAUUUACCUCACAAAAACAAUAAAAGUGUGUGUAUAUAUAUAUAUAUAUAUUAAAUAUGGUUCAUAAAAAUAAAUGUUUUUUAUACUUAUUAUAUAUAUUGAGUGUAUCACAAAAAAAAUUGAGAGACGAAAACGAAUAUACUUGGUUUAUGUUGGUUUGCUUGCAUGUUUUUAUCUUUUGUUGGAAAAUUUUGCAUAGCCUAUAUAAAUAAUUUUAAAAAAUCAGAUGAAUACUUAUUUAUAUAUGAACAUUAUAGUUGGUUGUUUUCCCCGAAUUGUUGUGUUAGUAAAAUGAUUUAAGCAACAUAAUUUUCUAAUAAUAUCAAAAAGGUUUAUCUUUUUAAAAAAGAAAAUAGUUGUGUUAGUUUCAAUUUUAUUUUUAUUAUAUAUAUCUUUGAUUAUAUAAUGAAGUAGAAAAUAUCAUUUAUAUUUCAUCAUAGAUUUAAAGUGAUAGGUUCUGACAUACGCACUGAUGUAACGAUGACAGACCGCACUGAAAGACCACGAGAAGAGGUGCAUAUAGCUAACCUUUCUUUGUAUGUAUAUUAUACAUCAUAAUACAAAAGGUGUAUUUUUUCAGGAUAUAGGAGACAUGGAUAUGGACUUUGAAGAUGCACAAAAAGAAUCCAUUGAGGGUUCCGAAGCGACGUCGCUGAAAGGGGACGGAGAUUCACCGAAUUAUUUACAACAUAAUGAUAUGGAAGCGGUGAUAUCUCAUAUGGAAGCGGUGAUAUCUCAUAACAAACCACAAAAGGAUGCCAAUUUUAAUGUUAUCGCACAAGGUAUUUUUCAAUAUUAUUAUCAAUCUUUUCUUUCUAAUAUUGCCUUUUGUAUUCAACUAAUUUGGCUAAUUUUGUUUACUAAGUUGGCUCACUUAUGAUGUCGGCACACUAUGUUUGUAUCCCGAGAGAUAUUACAGUCAUCGAAUCAAUCAAGUCUGCCCCCAAGAAUAUCCAAUUCGUGAACAUUGGAGAUGCCUUAUUAUCAACCGACGAUUUGAAAUGCCUUAUGAAAGAUGAUAUGUUCUUACAUAACGGUGUAAAACCAACUGCAUAAACUUUGUAAUUAAUAAUAUGAACAAUACAUAUAAUAUCGUAAAAUAUAAACAUAAUCUAAAUGGUGAAUGCAGGUGAUAAAUGCUUACAUAUAUUGCAUGCUUACUCACGACCAUCUACAAGACAGGGCGGGUGGAAAGGUAUACAUUAUUAGCACGUUUGUAUCUGGCCAGACAAAAGAAGACGGGGAAAAAGACAUAGACCCAUCGAAAUAUCGUCACAUCGUGCAUCAUGUUAAUACUUAUCUACAACAGGAUAUGGUUAGUCUUGUCUCGUUAUCCAUGCAUAUAAUUAUGGAUUGUUUUUUUCUAAUUCAUAUGUAUAAUGGUUUAUUAAUAUUUAUAUCUAAUUGUGACUGCGACCUGUAUGUUAUCUACACCAGUUAUUCAUUCUGAUUAACAUGUCGGGCUACCAUUGGUAUCUAGCAGUCACCAAUGCCAAAAAAGUCAGAUUCAAGUAUUGCAGAAAUGGAAUUCAGUUAUUAAAUAAUUGUGUUUGUGUUAUAUUGUUUGUAUGUGUGGAGUUUAACAUGUAACUCUUGCAAACUAUUUCAAGAGCCCGUGGCAACGCACGGGCAUUCUACUAGUUGUCAAUAGUUGGCAAGUCUUGGUAUUGCCAACAUUUGGCUAGCCAAAUGUUGGCAUCAAACCAAUCAUGCUCAUAUAUUGCAGUACAAUGAAACAAUAAUAUUAUGUGCGAUCAUACAUGCAAUUUAUAUGGUCCUCCAAGCUAAAAUAAAAACAAAGGUAUAAAAGCGCACAUUGUACCAGAAAUUUAGGGAAAUAACAACUUAAACUACGCUUGGGUGCAUAUACAACAAAAUUGAAAAGAAAAAAUAGGAAACACUUUAAACAAAUCUGAAUUUUUUUAGACAAAUAUUGUUGAAUGUUUUACCAACAUAAAAAGUUGGUGGUAAAAAUCAUUCAUGGAGGUCUGGAGAAAGAAGAUGUUCCAAAAAGGGCAAUUUUUUAAAGCACUCUGGAACACUGACUUUUUUGUCCAGACCUUCACGGAUGUCUUUCCAUUACGAAACUUAUUUGCAUGUUACUAAAACAUUCAACCAUGUUUGAAAUUUACUGUUCAUCCUAGGUGCAUAUGCGCCCAGGAGCAGAGCGAUCACUUCCGCCUAAACUGACAUUUCUUUCAUGUAGAAGUAAUCUUCUCCAUCAUUUUUUUAUCAAUUAAUGUGGUAAUGUUACCCAUUUUGAUUUUUGUUGUUCGAGAUUUGCUUUGAAUGGAGGAACAUUUUCUUAUAAUGUUAAAUUAAUAGUCCUUUUUUUUGCUAAACAUAACUUGUUUUAUUUCAGUAGCAGUAUGCUAUACUUUAAACUAAAUAAAUUAAUUUUACUUGUCAGUUGAAUGGCAAAUUAAGAUGGACCUAUAUUUUUCAUUGUGGUAAAAGAAUAGAUAUAUCUAGCUUUAUGUAUGGAAUUUGGCUCAAUAAUGUGAUAUUUCACCACGACGAGAUGGUACAUCCUGUUUUGAUUUUCUGAAAUCUAGAAGAUACGUGAGCACAACAGCUCGCCGGAGUCACACCGCGCGAUGCUUUCUCCACGUGAGCGAACCAUGCAGGACUCACUCACACACUUGAUCCAGUGAGCUGUCUCCACGGAAAUCCAGUCACAACCACUCCUGGCCACAAGUUCACAGGAAUACUCAUAUCUCUUGGCUCUCGAUGUUACAGGUGUUCUGAGUGCAAGAGAUCUAUGCAGCACCAAUGGCAGCAAAGCUCAAGAUUUUUCUCUCUAUCCAUCUUUAUCUUGUCUGAUUACACACUAAAUCGAUCCCUAUACCACCUCCGACUGCCUUAAGUAGCCACAUCCCCCUCUCCUAUCAAGUCAUCUGGACACACCCAUCUCUUGCAGAACCCAUACUGCCAACAUUUUGCGUAGCCUUACAAUGGCGACCACAACCAUGUCUCUCUCCUCCUCGACCUUUGCCGGCAAGGCGGUGAAGAAUGUACAAUCGUCGACUCUCUUUGGCGAGGCCCGUGUCACCAUGCGCAAGACUGCAGCGAAGGCGAAACGGGUUUCCUCUAGCAGCCCAUGGUACGGUGCCGACCGUGUGCUCUACCUCGGCCCACUCUCUGGCGAGCCUCCGAGCUACCUGACCGGUGAAUUCCCUGGCGACUAUGGGUGGGACACCGCCGGGCUUUCGGCUGACCCCGAAACCUUCGCCAAGAACCGGGAGCUAGAGGUGAUCCACUGUCGUUGGGCCAUGCUUGGGGCGCUUGGUUGCAUCUUCCCUGAGUUACUCGCCCGCAACGGUGUCAAGUUUGGCGAGGCCGUUUGGUUCAAGGCUGGCUCCCAGAUUUUUAGCGAGGGUGGUCUCGACUACCUCGGCAACCCCAGCCUCGUCCAAGCGCAAAGCAUCCUAGCUAUUUGGGCGUGUCAAGUCGUGCUAAUGGGUGCCGUCGAGGGGUACCGCAUUGCCGGCGGCCCACUUGGCGAAAUCGUGGACCCACUCUACCCAGGCGGCAGCUUCGACCCUCUCGGUCUAGCCGAUGACCCUGAGGCAUUCGCUGAGCUCAAGGUGAAGGAGAUCAAGAACGGGCGUCUCGCUAUGUUCUCAAUGUUUGGUUUCUUUGUCCAAGCUAUCGUCACAGGCAAGGGCCCUCUUGAGAACCUCGCUGACCACAUCACUGACCCCGUCAACAACAAUGCUUGGGCGUUUGCCACCAAUUUUGUUCCCGGCAAGUAAGUUAUCUUGAAGCCUGUGCACACCACCAAGCGUGUUUAUUGUACAGCCUGAGUUGUACUACCAUGAUGUAAAUUACAAUAAUUUUAUGCAAAAGCAAUGCAAGAUUUGUCCGCCUUCAAUGUUGUGACUUGCAUUGAUCUGACCAUUUUGUUGUGACAACAAUCACAAUCACGGAAACAAAUAAAUACUUUGUCACGCGCUUAAUUAAUUAUUACUUCCUCAGUCUGAAAUUACUUGUCACUCAAAUGGAUAAUUCCGGACAGACGGAUGUGUUUGGCACUUAAAUACCUUCGUUUGAGCGACAAGUAAUUUCGGAUAGAGAAAGUAUCAUACUGUGCUCAGGUGAGUGACAAUUUAUAGAAUCGUGUGUGUCGUUGAAUUUGCGGAGCCUGAACGAAGGAAACAUUAGUAUAUAUAUUUUUCAUUGAAGAUUUCUGUUUUGUGUUUACUCUCCACGCCUUCUUUUUUUGCGGGGGUACUCUCCACGCCUUUGAUCAAGGCAACCAUCCGAAAUGAUCUCUAUUUAUCUCGCUCAGUUGCAAGGGCCAUGAUUUAUUCUCAUUUCAUAAUUUGCAACAAAACAGGGUGUGUCCAAUUAUACCGCAUCAAUGAUUUUUUGGAUCUAUCUGCAUUUUUACUUUAUGAUUUGGACAAUUUAGAGACACAUACCCAAGCAUCUAUUCCAGAGAAGGUUUUUGCCCUGAGAUUCAGCCACUUGGUUGAAAGCAACUUGUGGGCAUUUCCUUUCUUGACACAUGUAUUACUUUGGGAUAUGGUGGGGUAGAAACCGAUGUGUGGCUGUGUGUUUUUGAUUCAAAUUUUUUGAACUUCAUUGCUUCAUCGCUGUGUAGUUAUUGGGGUGGGUCUAGCAAUUUUCUGUGCGAUGUGGGACAUUACUUUUGCCUUGCAUGUGUGCUGCAUGGCGUCGUAGUUGAUUUGAUCACGUAGUUUAGUUUUGUCCGCUUUCUGGUUGGAUGGAUUUGUGGGCUGGCUGCUUUUUUUUUCACCUCCGUGUUUGUCUCCCGCUCAGUUGUAUGCUGCUUGAUUUUUGCCUCUGUAGACGCGUGUCCGUGUUAUUUUUUGCAUGUGGUGGUUCUGGUUGUUGCGAUUUACAUGCAUAUGCGGCAUGCUGGUUGCCUAAAUUCGGGUCUUGAACGCCGCUUAACUCGAUGGUUCUGGUACUCGCUCGCCGCUUUGGUCGUUGUUCUGGCCACGUGUUCCUGCCGACAUCCUGCCGCUUAAUUCGAUGCUUCUUGAUCGCCGCUUGAAUCGUUCUUUCUAGAUGAGCCGAAGGUGUAUAAAUAGUGAGAUUCGCUUCUGUUUCACCGCAGCACUGGCCAAUUCCUCCUCACCGUGCCCCGCUAUAUCGUCGUGCCGCAUUGAGCCCACUAGCACCGCGUGGGAGAUGCCCCUCACGGCCGGCGGCCAGAUCACCAACUUUCCCAUCCUCUUCUGCUUCGCCUUCGUCUCCUACCUGCUGCUCUUUCUACAUCCUCUUCUCUGCCGUCAUGGAUGACCUCCUGUAGCCAUCCACCACGCGGUUCGACCAGGGGAUGGUGUCGACGGCAGUCGCUGCAACGGCAGCUCGGCAUGCGCGUCAGCCUGGUGAACGAGCGCAUCCGGUCGUACACCCAUGAGUGGGAGUUCGGCGUCAUGGGCACCAUGGACGAGUUGCACCUCCGGGCCGUGCCCGAGUGUGUUACCGAUGCCAGGCCUGCUCGCUAUGAUGUCCAACACGAAACUACCCGUCGAUCAACGGCGCUAGCGAUACCCGGAGGUCGGCGGCGGCCUGUGCAUCAUCAAGGAGAAAAGGCCGCGGCACAAGCGCGACGGAAGCGAAGAAACAACAUCUUGCAGCAGCGUCAUGGGGCUGGUGGACGACAGGCCGCGGCUGAUGAUCCUGUCCCGGAACGGGUUGCCCGCGCUCGAGAAGGAGGCCGAGCUGGCGGCGGCGAGGGCCAGGUUCCGCGUGACCAUGCUCCGGCGGCUCCCAGACGCCGGUGGGCACACCGGACACGCAUGGUGAUGUGGCCCUAGAAUGCAUGCUAGCAUGUACUACACGGGUGGCCGGUCAUGCGGGCGAGAUGAGUCAUGGGUGACGGCUGUGUGGAGUUGUGAGAUGGCAGCGGCAUCAAGGAAAACACCCCAUAGGAACGGACCUAUGCGCGUGGGCGCGCGGGGUGGUCGCCGGCCUCGACCACUCCUCCUUCCGCCUCCCCGCCCACUUCUUCGCCGUUUACGAUGGACGACUAGCGGUGCCCGAUCACCGACUACACAAGCUACACGCCGCGCUCGCCGCAGAGGACCUGCCUGCCGCAGAGGACCGCGUCGGAGCCUUCGAAAACCUGCCGCCUCGAGCUCGCGACCCCCCAGGCGGACGGCGUCCUGCCGUUCCGUGUCACUUAUACAACGGUUACCGGAGUCGGAGGUCCUGUGGUGCCGGUGGCCGCCUCUCGAUUUUUUUCGUGUGGCUCCGCCUCCAAAGCCAUCGCGCCGGUGACAACACCUUCCCCGGCAUGUGUCACAUUAUCACAGCAAGGCCGCAUUGCUCCUUUUGACCUUCUCUGAUCGACUGGGUGCCCGAAGCAAGGUGGCGACCAUCGUGCCGUCCCCAACCGAACGCCCCCGCCCGCAGCUCCGCGACGCUCUGCUCGAGCGCGAUUAGCGCUUGCUCGAACGAGCCGUACGCGACGGUGGACCGUUCGCAGGUGGCAAUGCAAGGAACUCGCCGAGUGCGGCUAGGGCAUCCUCCACGUGCGUGAGCUCCGAAUACCCGUCCACGGCGGAGGCUGACUAUGCAUGCCCGCGCAGACUCCGGCGUCGAGGUGCGUGUGGACGCGGGUGGCACGGCGACCGGGCGUGCGCAGUCUUCCCCGUCGCCCCGGUGUCUCCAAGUGUGAAGUGCAUUAUGUGACGAGUAUCACCAGCGGUUGCACUUGCACAUUGGUUUACUUGGCACGUUCGAUGGAUGGCCUCAAGAGUACGUACGUGCCUGGGCACCGUGGUUUACUGCAACUUGCAUGGCAGGGAAAGCUCCUGUUCGUCCAUGUGAGAGUUGGCGCAGCGCUGACGGUACGGUAGCUGGGCCUGUUUACUGUAGUUCGGCGUGGGGGCAGAACUACUAUUACAACUGUAGAGGAGCUACUAUUACCGCCUCAUCCCGCCUCCGUGAUGCUUGCUCCUCAUCUCUACCGUCCGACACCACCAGUGUGCACAAACACCCCGCACUGCUGUCGCUGCUGCUGCACGGCUUUGCUGCUCAAGCUCAACCGCAAACAUCACGCUGAGCACAGCCAGCGCAUCGCCCCGGAGCACCCACGCGAGGCUUCCACCCAGCACACUAGCACGCAUGCACACAUCAUGCACCCAUCGGCCAUCACCGUAGCAAGGACACAUCACACGCUAGCACAUGCACGGACGCACGCACGCGCAAGCAGCAGCCGUUCGCCAUGGCAUACAUCCUCCAGGCCUCCAGGGCACGACAAGAGGGCCUCGCCUCUGGGUCCAGCUACCGCACGAGGCAUGAGCCCAUGGCGAGGGCCAACGAGUGAGGUGAGCGAGUGCGGCAACGAUGAUGCACACGUACAGUGGUGGAGCUGCGGAAGACGGCGGGGAGCCCUGCGCGUCGCAGCGCCAACAUCGUGGCCUGGAAGAUCUUCCUGGGGAAGAAGGCAUGGAAGAAAGAAGAGCCUUCCGAUUUGAUUUGAACGGCAGAUUCUAAUACCUAUUGUACUGGUACAGUAACAACACGACUGUAGAGGAGCCGAACCCUUCUUUUAUUUCUCCUUCGGUCGUUUUAUGUGUGUGGCUUAUUUUCUUUUAUCUUUUUCUAAUAUAUUUUUUACGUCUUAUCCGUACAAUGAGAUAUUUUCUCUAUUUUUUACCAUCUGUUUUGUCUUAUCCGUACAAUGAGAUAUUUUCUCUAUUUUUUACCAUCUGUUUUGUUUUCUUUUUUGACGGUCGCAUGUGUGGGUUAAUAAUGGUGUUGCCGCGUGAUGGACUAUGGUUGACAUGUUGCAUAUGUUAUUUCAUUGUUGUCAGCAGAGUCAUAUGGAAUUUUUCUUUUUGCUGCUUUAGGUCGGUUGCCGUUUUGGCUGUAGAGACUAAUUUAUAUAUAGUGCUCAUGAUAGAAACCGGGUGUGGAUGUGUUGCGUAUAUAUUUGUUCUCUUCAUGAUCGGCCACGUUCUACUUGGCCGCCUGCUGAUGGUAGACCUGGUAAUGCUGGUCGGGAGGUGGAUAUUAAUCGUGGUAUCUACGCAGACUACUAGGCGCGUAGACAAUGAAUCUGUAGAAGGAAGGUACCCAACGCCGGUGGGUGCUCCACCGAGCCGCUGCUAUGGCCUCUUUCAAUAACAUGUGCCCUAGCUUCUCCCAUCUCUUCUGGGAGUAAGACAUGUUCUCCACCAUUUUCCAUCUCGCAAGAUGUAUCACGCAUGGUGAUAAUAAAUGCAUCCUUUGCAAAUCGCUUAUGUGCACAACUUACCUUUUUAAACUAAAAAAUAAUGACUUUAAACUUAUGCUCAUAAAACUCUUAUUUUUAGACCUGAAUUUAUCACACAAAAUAAAAAUAUCAUAUAUAAUCAUAGCUUAUUUUUAAGGCGCGGCGUGCCGCCGCGCGGGCUAGGCUAGUACACAUUGAUCUAGUAAUCAAUAAUGGUUGUCUCGCCACGUUUUCAUGUUUGGCUUAUAUGUGCACACGCCAUCGUCAUAGGGGAACAUUGUUAGAUUUCUCCAUCGAAGAAGUACCUCCGUGCUAUUACUUCAAAUUUAUCAAACCUAUCAUAAAAGCACCCACUCUUACUUCCUUAGUUAAUCCAAAGAUGAAUGCAAGUAGGUCUAUAGUAUAUGAAUCGAAAUUAAGCCCAGUCCAAACCUGACAGCUAGAACAUCAUUGCAUCAUAUAUGACCAUCCCCAUGUCCCAUGUUAUAGUCACCACUUUUGGCUGAUGUUUCGCUGCCCCUAAACCUACCAGACUAUUCUUUCAGCAAAUGCAAAUCAACUAAGAACUACCAAACUCCUAGAUGUUUUUAUGUUGAUGCAGUGCUUGAACCAAUCAUGUUAUUUUCUUACCCAAUUUCACCACACAACUAAUAUUGAUUGUUUUCACUUGAUACAUUGCCUCAAUCAUAGCAUGUACUUUUUUUUAGAGAAAAGGCAUACGCGCGACUUUAUAAAUAAAGCCAUACGAAAGAGUAGCAACAGAACAACACAACACAAACAGUUCACUCAAAAACAAUGGGCCAACCACCACAGGACAUAAGAACCAAAGUUCGGUGGCACGCAGGCCCAAAUACUACAAAAUGAGGCAUGCAGGCCAACCACCUACUACACUAAGGAGAAGCCAACAAGCUACGACGAAGCGGCGACGGGGGGAGAGGACAUCAGGUUGGCAGACGCCUGCACUUUAUUGAUCAACACCCCCAUGCCAUCUCGAUCCGCCGAUUUAGUCAAUAAUUUUCAUUGCUACAAGAAGAUAGACAUUUUAAACAGGACAUCAGCAGGCUUAUUAGAAAAAGCACCCUCAAUGGUGAAUUUGUUUCUGGUAGUCCAUAAGGACCAGCAAAGAGCACCCGGCCCAAUCCAAAACAGCCUCCUGGACCGUCCCUGUAAGUUAGCCAUCAACAGACGCAUGUCUGAGAACAAGCCGGGGGCCCAUGAGGUGUUCCGCCAGGAACGAACACACCCCCACAACAACUUGGCCAAAGCACAUCCAAAGAAAAUAUGAUUAGUGUCUUCCAGGGCAGAACAUAAAGCACAGUAAGCCGAGCCGGGGUCAUUCCUUUUCCAAAUCUGAUCCCGGGAAGGCAACCGCCCCCUAAAGGCUUGCCAAAGAAAAAUCUUGAUCUUGGGGGGGAUCCUGGCAGCCCAAAUUUGCUUAAACUUGGAGGAAGGAGUACCAGAAAUAAUCCUAGCAUACAAUGACUUGACAGAAAACUUCCGAGACGCGACAUGAGGCCAGGACACGGAGUCCUCCUCCUUCGAGAGAACAGGAAACAAAGCAGCAAGACGGUGCCAAUCCCCCAACUCUUCGGGAGAAAGAGAUCUCUGGAAGCCCAAGUCCCAAUUAUUACGAGGGAGCUCAGAGAUUGAGAUCUCCAGGUUAGAGCAAUAAGAAAUCAAAACCGGAAAAGAAGACCCAAGCGAGGAAUCGCCGGACCACCAAUCCAACCAAAAAAGAGUAGAGGCACCAUUCUUGACCACGAACUUGACAUGCUCAAGAAACAGAUCCCUCACCCUAACCAGGUCUUUCCAAAACUGUGACCCACGAGACGCCGUAGCGAACAUGGGAUUACCAGCAAGGAAGUGUCUAGUUUUGAGAAGAUCGAACCAGAGAGUGCCGAGAAUAGCAGUCAUGAUCCUCCNNNNNNNNNNNNNNNNNNNNNNNNNNNNNNNNNNNNNNNNNNNNNNNNNNNNNNNNNNNNNNNNNNNNNNNNNNNNNNNNNNNNNNNNNNNNNNNNNNNNNNNNNNNNNNNNNNNNNNNNNNNNNNNNNNNNNNNNNNNNNNNNNNNNNNNNNNNNNNNNNNNNNNNNNNNNNNNNNNNNNNNNNNNNNNNNNNNNNNNNNNNNNNNNNNNNNNNNNNNNNNNNNNNNNNNNNNNNNNNNNNNNNNNNNNNNNNNNNNNNNNNNNNNNNNNNNNNNNNNNNNNNNNNNNNNNNNNNNNNNNNNNNNNNNNNACUCCCUUUGUACCAUACUAUAUGUCGUUUUAGCACUUCAAAUUGAAGUGCUAAAACGACAUAUAGUAUUGAAGUGCUAAAACGACAUAUAGUAUGGUACAAAGGAAGUACCAUCAAUGAGAGAGUCCAAUAUAAAAAGCAUAUAAAAAUCAAACAUAUAGAUUAUGCAAAUUUAAAUUGGGAAUAAAUUAAUUUACUUAUCAAUCGAAUGACCAUUAAGAUGGACCUACAAUCUUCAUUAGAGUAAAAAUGGAUAUAUCUAGCUUUACGUAUGGAAUAUGGCCAAUAACGAUGUGACCUUUUACUACGAUGAGAUGGCACAUCCUAUUUUGAUUUUCUGAAAGAUAAAAGAUACGUACGUGAGAACAACAGCUCACCAGAGUGUGUGCGGUGUGACGUUGCGCGAUGCAUCCUAGUGCAUGCGAACCCUACAGAUCUCACUCACACACUUGAUCCUAGUCACAGCUACUUCUAGCCACAAGCUCACGGCGAUAACGUUUCCUGGUUCCCAUUGCGCCAAAAAAAAGUGUUCUGAGAACAAGAGAUUUGUGCAGCACCAAUGGCAUCGAAGCUCCAGAUUUUUCUCCCUAUCCAUCUUUAUCUUGUCAGCUUAUACACCAAAUCGAUGCCCUGUGCCACCUCCGUUGCCAUAAGUAGCCACCUCCGCUCUCAUAUCAAGGCAUCUCCACACUCACUCAUCCCUUGGAGAAUCCAUACAGUAGACAAUUUGCUCAGCCUUCCAAUGGCAACCACCACCAUGUCCCUCUCCUCCUCGACCUUUGCCAGCAAGGCGGUGAAGAACGUGUCGUCAUCGGCUCUCUUCGGCGAGGCCCGCGUCACCAUGCGCAAAACUGCAGCGAAGGCAAAGCAGGUUUCCUCUGGCAGCCCAUGGUACGGUGCCGACCGUGUGUUGUACCUCGGCCCACUCUCCGGUGAGCCCCCGAGCUACCUCACCGGUGAGUUCCCUGGCGAUUAUGGUUGGGACACUGCCGGACUUUCGGCUGACCCGGAGACCUUCUCCAAGAACCGGGAGCUGGAGGUGAUCCACUGUCGUUGGGCCAUGCUUGGGGCACUUGGUUGCGUCUUCCCUGAGUUGCUCGCCCGCAACGGCGUCAAGUUUGGCGAGGCCGUUUGGUUCAAGGCCGGCUCCCAGAUCUUUAGUGAGGGUGGUCUCGACUACCUCGGCAACCCCAGCCUUGUGCACGCGCAAAGCAUCCUAGCUAUUUGGGCAUGCCAAGUCGUGCUCAUGGGUGCUGUCGAGGGGUACCGGGUUGCCGGCGGCCCACUUGGCGAGAUCGUCGACCCACUAUAUCCAGGAGGCAGCUUUGACCCUCUCGGCCUAGCCGAUGACCCCGAGGCAUUCGCCGAGCUCAAGGUGAAGGAGAUCAAGAACGGUCGCCUCGCCAUGUUCUCAAUGUUCGGCUUCUUUGUCCAAGCUAUCGUCACGGGCAAGGGACCACUUGAGAACCUCGCUGACCACAUCGCUGACCCCGUCAACAACAACGCCUGGGCAUUCGCCACCAACUUUGUCCCCGGCAAGUAAGAUGUCUUGGAGAUUGUUCACGCCACAAAGCGUGUUUGUUGUGCAGUCUGAGUUGUACUACCAUGAUGUAAAUUAUGAGAAUUUGUGCAAAAGCAAUGCAAGAUUUUUCUUGCUUGAAUGUCAUGACUUGCAUCGAUCUGAUCGUUGUGAUCACAAUCCACGAGAACAGAUAAAUAUUCCUGCUCGCGCUUAGUUAUCCAUUAUCAUUAUGUGCUCAGAUCAGCGACGCCUCAUAUGAUUGUGUAGGCUUGUCCGCUGGUGAAUUUGCGGGGUCAAUUCAGAGCAAAGGAAACGCUAAUAUAAAUUUUCAUAGAAGCUUCCGUCAAUACAACAAUCAGGACUAAUCUCAAUUCAAUUGCAAGGGGCAUGGUUUUCUUUCAUUUCUUAAUUUUCAACAAAAGUAGUGUGGCCAAUUAUACUGCAUUAGUGAUUUUUCAUAUCUCCCUCCCAGCCCAACCAAGUGGUAUGGCUUACUAGUGUGGUCUAAAGUGAGAAGGCAAUGUAAGGGUCGGGAAAUAGUCAAUUAUUCAAGGAUUGGGGUGCGAGAGGCGGUCGCCGCCGCUGAUAUUGUGGUGGAUGGCAAAGACUUGGAGGCGGAGAUGGGUGGGCGUCCACCUAUAGAUCAACACAUUUCUCUAUUGUGUCAUUUUUAUUAUAAAUCAAUUGAAAAAUUAUUGAUAUUCUUGUUAAAGCAGAGUAGAUAGAAUUAAAACAUACUUUUAUGCAAGAUAGCUAUUAAAAUAUUUUCAACAAAUAAACAAUUCACAAUAUAAUUGUUGUGCAUGAUCAUCACCCAAAGAACAUAGGGUGACCUGUGAAUCAACGACGUUAGAGAGCUGGGGAGCACGUGCUAAGAUUUUCUUUCUCGAGAGCUUCGACAUAUAUUUGUUCGUCAGGUUCCUGUCUAAUUUAAGAGCUAAAGAUAUAAAAAUCAAGCAUACAUAAUUAUAAGUGAAAAUUAUAAGCACGUAAAUGAAUUUGACUCAACAUUGAUGUUUUGAUGUACGUGAAUAUAUAUUGCAAUAUAGUGAAAUAAUUAUAUUAUGUGCGAUCAUACAUGCAAUUUAUAUAGUCAUCCAGGCUUGAAUAAAAACAAAGCUAUAAAAGUGUACAUUAUCCAUAAAUUUAAGGAAAUAACAACUUAAACUGCACUUGGGGGCUUAUGCACCCGACUGAGAAGUAAAUUUGAAAAACAUGAAAAUUAUCAUGCUGAAAAACAUUUGUGGAAGUCUGAAAAACCAUUACAAAAACGAUGUUCCAAAAAGGGCACUUUUUAAAGCACUUUGGAACACUGAUUUUUUUUCAGACCUCCACAGAUGUUUUUCCAUCACGAAACUUAUUUGCAUGUUAGUAAAACAUUCAAGAAUGCUCAUCACAAAAAAAUAAGUUUUAAAUUUGUUUACUAUUCUUUUCAAAAUUCAAUUUUCGCCUGGUGCAUAUGCACCCAGGAGCAGAGCGAACACCUCCGCUUAUUCUAACAUUUCUUUCAUGUAGAAGUAAUCGUAUCCAUCACUUUUUCCCCAAUUGAUUUACUACAAAUGGUGGAACAUUUUUUAAGGUUAAAUAAAUAGUCUUGUUUUUUUGUUACCAAACAGAACUUGUUUUAUUUCAGUAGCAUAAUGAGUCUCUACUUUAUUUACACUGAAAUAUAGAAUAUUCAAAUGUAAAUUGGAAUAAAUUUAUUUAUUUUUCAGAUGAAUGGUAAAUUAAGUUGGACCUACAUUUUUCAUUAUGUUAAAAAUGGAUAUAUCUAGCUUUAUAUGUGGAAUUUGGCGCAAUAAUGUGAUUUUCUAGAUGCAAUAAUGUGAUCUUUUACCACGAGCAGAUGUUACAUCCUAUUUUGAUUUUCUGAAAUCUAAAAGAUACGUGAGCGCAACAGCUCGCCGGAGUACGCGUGGUGCGACGCCUCGCGAUGCUUUAUGGUGCAUGCGAACGUCUCACUCACACACUUGACCGAAUCAGCUGUCUCCAACGAAAUCCAGUCACAGCCACUCCUGGCCACAAGUUCACAGCAAUACUCAUUUCUCCUGGCUCUCGCUGCGCCAAGUUUUGUGACAGCAAGAGAUCUAUGCGGCACCAAUGGCAGCAAAGCUCAAGAUUUUUCUCUCUAUCCUUGUUUAUCUGGUCAGAUUGCACACCAAAUGGAUUCCCUAUGACACCUCCUGCUGCCUUAAGUAGCCACCUCCCCCUCUUCUAUCAAAUCAUCUCCAUACUCACUCAUCUCUUUGAGAACCCAUACAGUUGACACUCAUCUUAGCUUUCCAAUGGCGGCAGCCACCAUGUCCCUCUCCUCCUCGACCUUUGCCGGCAAGGUGGUGACGAACGUUCCAUCUUUGGCUCUCUUUGGCGAGGCCCGAGUCACCAUGCGCAAGACCGCAACGAAGGUGAAGCAGGUUUCUUCUGGCAGCCCAUGGUACGGUGCUGACCGUGUGCUCUACCUCGGCCCACUCUCCGGUGAGCCCCCGAGCUACCUGACAGGUGAGUUCCCAGGUGACUAUGGGUGGGACACAGCCGGACUUUCGGCUGACCCCGAGACCUUCUCCAAGAACCGGGAGUUGGAGGUGAUCCACUGUCGUUGGGCCAUGCUUGGGGCACUUGGUUGCGUCUUCCCUGAGUUGCUCGCCCGCAACGGCGUCAAGUUCGGCGAGGCUGUUUGGUUCAAGGCCGGCUCCCAGAUCUUUAGUGAGGGUGGUCUCGACUACCUCGGCAACCCUAGCCUUGUGCACGCGCAAAGCAUCCUAGCUAUUUGGGCAUGCCAGGUCGUGCUCAUGGGUGCCGUUGAAGGGUACCGCGUCGCCGGUGGCCCACUCGGCGAGAUCGUCGACCCACUAUACCCAGGAGGCAGCUUCGACCCUCUCGGCCUAGCCGACGACCCCGAGGCAUUUGCUGAGCUCAAGGUGAAGGAGAUCAAGAACGGCCGCCUCGCCAUGUUCUCAAUGUUCGGCUUCUUUGUCCAAGCUAUCGUCACGGGCAAGGGCCCACUUGAGAACCUCGCUGACCACAUUGCUGACCCCGUCAACAAUAACGCAUGGGCAUUCGCCACCAACUUUGUCCCCGGCAAGUAAGAUGUCUUGAAGAUUGUGCACGCCCCAAAGCGUAUUGGUGUGCAAUCUGAGUUGUACUACCAUGAUGUAAAUUACGAGAAUUUUGUGCAAAAGCAAUGCAAGAUUUUUCCGUCUUGAAUGUUGUGAUUUGCAUCGAAAUGAUCAUCGUGCUUGCAAUCCACGAGAACAGGUAAAUAUUUC
rnacentral:lncRNA from 1 species